UCCCUCUUAGCUCAGUUGGUAGAGCGCGUCACUAGUAGUCCUAUGUAUGACGAGGUCAGUUGUUCGAGUCAGCUAGAGGGAA